AUUGAACGCUGGCGGCAUGCCUAACACAUGCAAGUCGAGCGGACGGACGGGGCUCGUUCCUCGCUGCCGCGGCCGACGGGUGGGUGAUGCCUAGGAGGCUGACCGACCUUGGGGGCUAAGGUCCGUUCGCGAGCGCUAAUCCCACACCGGUUCAGAUGGUGAACGGGGUGGAUCUUUAGACCUAACCCGAUCUGAUGACCCUGCGUCGCAUUAGCUAGUUGGUUGGGUAACGGCCUACCAAGGCGACGAUCCGUAACUGGUCUGAGAGGCUGAUCGGUCACACUGGAACUGAGACACGGUCCAGACUCCUACGGGAGGCAGCAGUGGGGAAUAUUGGGCAAUGGGCGAAAGCCUGACCGAGCCACGCCGCGUGUGUGAUGAAGGUCUUCGGAUCGUAAAACUCUUUAAGUUGGGAAGAAGGAAAGUAAAUUUAUCCAUGGCUGUUUUGACGUUACCAACUGAAAAAGCACCGGCUAACUACGUG
rnacentral:rRNA from 1 species